UCAAGACUUAAAUUAAUUAAACUUAAGUAGUAUUAGUUAUGACCUUAAAACUUAAAGAAUUUGGCGGUAUUUUAGUCUAUUUAGAGGAAUCUGCUCCGUAAUCGAUAAUACACGUUUAACUUAACUUAGAUUAAUUGAACGUGUAUACCGCCGUUUAUUGAAAAUCUUUUUAGGGUUAAUUUUCUCAAGAUAUAAAAAUAUAAUAUUUCAGGUCAAGGUGCAGUCUAUAUCUAAGGGGAGGUGGAUUACAAUAUUUUUAAGUAAAUGGAUUUUAUUUUGAAAAAUUAAAUGAAAGUGGAUUUAAUAGUAAUUAUUUAAAUUUUAUCAUUAUGAUUUUAGCUCUAAAAUGUGU
rnacentral:rRNA from 1 species